GCUGUGGGAUGGCGGCUGGCCUGGGCGGGCCGCGUGGCCCCCCAACGCCGCGGCGCCAGGCAGGGCAGCCGCCACCGUGAGCCUGGAGAAGCGUCCGCGGCGGCGUCCGAGGCUCUCUGACCGUGAGCGCGUGGAGGGCGGCGACCUGGCCUCGGCCACAAUCUCCGGGGGACCGCGGGAGGGCCGUAGGCGGCCUUCGGCCUGCGUCCCCUUGCCCGGAAAUGGGGAGAGUCGUUAAAUGGAUUUGUGUUUAUUGAUCAUCGACUGUAUGCCGGGGAGUUUUUAAUAGAAGCGGUUUGGGGUUUUUUUCGUGUGAGUAAAAAGGCUGCGCGGUAUAACUGCCUUUAUGCCUUCCCUGCCACGGUGUAAAAUUAGUGUAGAAGCAAAGCGCCAUUUAAGGUGCAGAUGAUUUAAAACGUUUCCAGGUGCAGCACUUGGCGGGUAUUGAGUAUCGCCAGUUCUGCAGGUGAAGAUGGAUGCUUGAAGCAUAGACUGCUGCUAGCUGAGAACCACGUGGGAACACCAAGGUCACUUAAGGAUGUCCUUGGUGAGGAUUUUGAAAAUUUGAUCUUCGCAAGAGUUGAUUGGAUCGCUUAGAAAUUCUGGGAGCGUGAGGAGUACUGAAAUAAUUGCCUUUGAAUGGCCCAUAAACAUUUAAGACAAUGGGGAU